CAAAGCACUGCAGCCUAAACAGUCUGAAACUAGAACAGCCUACAGCAUUAACACAGUGUUAUGAUGUAUGACAUUAAGACAUCAGAGAUGACUGAAGUUAUAUAUGAUAAUGUGAUGAUGACUGAGACUGUGGAAAUGGACAGAGGAGAAAGAGUGGAGAUGAUGGUGGAUAUCUAUGACAGUGCAGAUACUGUGAGAUGUCAUGAUCUGAGGACAAACACAGAGAGACAUCAGCCACUUCAACACACAGGAAGUUUUUCAAUGAAGAACAGAAAGCACAAAGCAGUUGAAGUGUGUUUGUGUCUGCUGUGUGUUCUUCUGCUGACUGCUGUAAUGGUGCUCUGUGUGUAUUUCACCACCGAGAGAAACCAGUUACUAACCCACAUCAAUAACCUGACUGAGGAAAGAAAACAGAUAUUUACCAAAUAUGAGCAGAUAUUGAACCACAGCAAUAAUCUGACUGCAGAAAGCAAGCAGAUAGAAAACAAGAUUGAUGAACUCCAACGUGGCCUUUAUGAACAAGAUCAGCGUGCUGACAACUUUAAAUGGAUUUACUACAACUUCAGUUUUUAUUAUAUUUCAUCUGAGGAGAAGUCAUGGAGUGACAGCAGACAAUACUGUCAACAGAGAGGAGCAGAUCUAGUGAUCAUAAACAGCCAAAAGGAACAAGAGUUUUUGAAGAAGGUUGUUGAUAAUAAUUCUUUUUGGAUUGGUCUGAGAAGGACAAAGGGAGUGUGGAAAUGGAUUGAUGGCACCACAAUAAAUGGGUACUGGAGUCCUCAGUACCAGUAUCCAUAUAGUGUAUAUGACUGUGGUCUAAUGACUCCAUCAGGUUGGGAAGAUUGGUCAUGUAAUGGUUAUUCUGAAAAAUGGAUCUGCGAGAGAACAAUUUUAAAAUCACUCAUUACAUAAAAUAUAUGUACAUACAGUGAAAUAAACCCAUCAUGUUUUUUGCUGCAGUGCGAUCCAGUCAGACAAACUGUGAUGGGAAAAAAUGAUUUUAUUUAUAACUAAAGAAUAAAAUUAAUAAUAAAACAACAAAACAAUGAAUGGAUACAUUAAUUUGUAAGUAAUAAUCAGCUUUUAAUAGUAAGUAACAAAGUAACAAUAAACCAAUCUGUAACAAAAUAUCUCUGAGUUAAUAUAUAUAAUAUAUUGCCACAAGAGUAAAAGGAGCAAAAGGGCCCUUCUUGCUAUAAGUGGGAUGCAAGAGCAAGAGAGAGUAGCAAAGUAAGAACUUUGCAAACACAUAUACAUAUUAUCUACACAUAUUCAGAUCACAUAAGGAAAUUGUAAGACUAUCAUGUCAAAAAUAACCUCUCUAAUCGCCUCUGACCUCUUGGUACUACAUAAUACAAGAGUAUAUAAGCAGUUUUAAAGGGAUAGUUCACCCAAAAAUGAAAAUUUGAUGUUUAUCUGCUUACCCCCAGGGCAUCCAAGAUGUAGGUGACUUUGUUUCUUCAGUAGAACACAAAUGAUGAUUUUUAACUCCAACCGUUGUGGUCUGUCAGUCGUAUAAUGCUUGUCAAUGGUAACU